GCACCGGGUGAUCAGUGGCGAACGGGUGAGUAACACGUGAGCAACCUACCCUUCACUCUGGGAUAAGCCUUGGAAACGAGGUCUAAUACCGGAUACGAGACGCACGGGCAUCUGUAGCGUCUGGAAAGAUUUAUUGGUGGAGGAUGGGCUCGCGGCCUAUCAGCUUGUUGGUGGGGUAAUGGCCUACCAAGGCGACGACGGGUAGCCGGCCUGAGAGGGCGACCGGCCACACUGGGACUGAGACACGGCCCAGACUCCUACGGGAGGCAGCAGUGGGGAAUAUUGCACAAUGGGCGAAAGCCUGAUGCAGCGACGCCGCGUGCGGGAUGACGGCCUUCGGGUUGUAAACCGCUUUCAGCAGGGAAGAAGCGAAAGUGACGGUACCUGCAGAAGAAGCGCCGGCUAACUACGUGCCAGCAGCCGCGGUAAUACGUAGGGCGCAAGCGUUGUCCGGAAUUAUUGGGCGUAAAGAGCUCGUAGGCGGUUUGUCGCGUCUGCUGUGAAAACCUCAGGCUCAACCUGGGGCUUGCAGUGGGUACGGGCAGACUAGAGUGCGGUAGGGGUGACUGGAAUUCCUGGUGUAGCGGUGGAAUGCGCAGAUAUCAGGAGGAACACCGAUGGCGAAGGCAGGUCACUGGGCCGCAACUGACGCUGAGGAGCGAAAGCAUGGGGAGCGAACAGGAUUAGAUACCCUGGUAGUCCAUGCCGUAAACGUUGGGCACUAGGUGUGGGGUCCAUUCCACGGAUUCCGUGCCGCAGCAAACGCAUUAAGUGCCCCGCCUGGGGAGUACGGCCGCAAGGCUAAAACUCAAAGAAAUUGACGGGGGCCCGCACAAGCGGCGGAGCAUGCGGAUUAAUUCGAUGCAACGCGAAGAACCUUACCAAGGCUUGACAUACACCGGAAAAGUGCAGAGAUGUGCUCCCCGCAAGGUCGGUGUACAGGUGGUGCAUGGUUGUCGUCAGCUCGUGUCGUGAGAUGUUGGGUUAAGUCCCGCAACGAGCGCAACCCUCGUCCCAUGUUGCCAGCGGGUUAUGCCGGGGACUCAUGGGAGACUGCCGGGGUCAACUCGGAGGAAGGUGGGGAUGACGUCAAAUCAUCAUGCCCCUUAUGUCUUGGGCUUCACGCAUGCUACAAUGGCCGGUACAAAGGGCUGCGAUACCGCGAGGUGGAGCGAAUCCCAAAAAGCCGGUCUCAGUUCGGAUUGGGGUCUGCAACUCGACCCCAUGAAGUCGGAGUCGCUAGUAAUCGCAGAUCAGCAACGCUGCGGUGAAUACGUUCCCGGGCCUUGUACACACCGCCCGUCAAGUCAUGAAAGUCGGUAA
rnacentral:rRNA from 1 species